CCGUUGUAGCCCGAGUUGACUGGACGCGGGUGGAGGGGGGAGAACGAGAAGAAGAAGAAGAAGAAGAAGAGGAAAUAAAGGAGGGGUAAACAUGGAUGUGACUUGAAGGAUUUACGGCCCCGUUUUGGGAUAUUUCAAAGUUUUAUCCGGGCCCAUGGAACUCGCGUACUGCAAGUGACUCUUGGCCUACUCACUAAUGGCGAAGUUCUGCCGGCGCGCCUUCAACCUGCCCACACACGUUUAGCUAACCGGCUCAAGGAAGGUUGAAGGCGUGCGACCAGUACUUCCUGUCAUGGGCGUGGCCAGGACGCCCCCCGCAGCGGCGCUUCACCUGCGGCUGCCAAGUAUUUGGGGUCCUCGCAGUGCGGGUUUUUUUUUUUUUUUUUUUUU